rnacentral:lncRNA from 1 species
AAUAUUAGAUAUACUAUGGAAAAAAUGAUUAUAGGAAUAUUAUUUUGUUGUGCUUCUAAACCUAGAAAUUGCGUAGCACCGGUACUUGAAGGUAUGUCUGGUGUCUAAUAUGUGUCGGUGCCUAACAUGUUAGGAAUAUUAUUGGUUGUGUUUCUAAACCUACACACUGUGUUGCACCGACACUUAAAGGCAUGUAUGGUGUCUGACAUGUGUCGACAUGUUAGUGUGUCAGCUAGGCUAGCAACAA